rnacentral:tRNA from 1 species
GGUUCCAUAGCUUAGUGGUUAAAACACUCUGCCUAGAAGAGAGACUUGGGUUCAAUUCCCAAUGGAACCA